GACGAACACUGGCGGCGUGCUUAACACAUGCAAGUCGAGCGGUAAGGCCCUUCGGGGUACACGAGCGGCGAACGGGUGAGUAACACGUGGGUGACCUGCCCUCAGCUCUGGGAUAAGCCUGGGAAACCGGGUCUAAUACCGGAUAGGACCGACUGCUGCAUGGUGGUUGGUGGAAAGUUUUUCGGCUGGGGAUGGGCCCGCGGCCUAUCAGCUUGUUGGUGGGGUGAUGGCCUACCAAGGCGGUGACGGGUAGCCGGCCUGAGAGGGCGACCGGCCACACUGGGACUGAGACACGGCCCAGACUCCUACGGGAGGCAGCAGUGGGGAAUAUUGCGCAAUGGGCGAAAGCCUGACGCAGCGACGCCGCGUGGUGGAAGACGCUCUAUGGAGUGUAAACACCUUUUGCGAGGGAAGAAACAAAUGACGGUACCUCGCGAAUAAGCACCUGCCAACUUCGUGCCAGCAGCCGCCGUAA
rnacentral:rRNA from 1 species